rnacentral:rRNA from 1 species
GUAUGCUUAACACAUGCAAGUCGAACGGACUAAUUGGGGCUUGCUCCAAUUAGUUAGUGGCAGACGGGUGAGUAACACGUGGGAAUCUACCCAUCAGUACGGAAUAACUUUUAGAAAUAAAAGCUAAUACCGUAUAUUCUCUACGGAAAAAAGAUUUAUCGCUGAUGGAUGAGCCCGCGUCAGAUUAGGUAGUUGGUGAGGUAACGGCUCACCAAGCCGACGAUCUGUAGCUGGUCUGAGAGGAUGAUCAGCCACACUGGGACUGAGACACGGCCCAGACUCCUACGGGAGGCAGCAGUGGGGAAUAUUGGACAAUGGGCGAAAGCCUGAUCCAGCAAUACCGAGUGAGUGAUGAAGGCCUUAGGGUUGUAAAGCUCUUUUA